AGUGGCGGACGGGUGAGUAACGCGUGAGAAUCUAGCUCUAGGUCGGGGACAACCACUGGAAACGGUGGCUAAUACCGGAUGAGCCGGAAGGUAAAAGAUUAAUUGCCUAGAGAUGAGCUCGCGUCUGAUUAGCUAGUUGGUGUGGUAAGAGCGCACCAAGGCGACGAUCAGUAGCUGGUCUGAGAGGAUGAUCAGCCACACUGGGACUGAGACACGGCCCAGACUCCUACGGGAGGCAGCAGUGGGGAAUUUUCCGCAAUGGGCGAAAGCCUGACGGAGCAAUACCGCGUGAGGGAGGAAGGCUCUUGGGUUGUAAACCUCUUUUCUCAAGGAAUAAGAAAGUGAAGGUACUUGAGGAAUAAGCAUCGGCUAACUCCGUGCCAGCAGCCGCGGUAAUACGGAGGAUGCAAGCGUUAUCCGGAAUGAUUGGGCGUAAAGGGUCCGCAGGUGGCCCUGUAAGUCUGCUGUUAAAGAGUGAGGCUUAACCUCAUAAAAGCAGUGGAAACUACAGAGCUAGAGUGCGUUCGGGGUAGCAGGAAUUCCUGGUGUAGCGGUGAAAUGCGUAGAGAUCAGGAAGAACACCGGUGGCGAAAGCGUGCUACUAGGCCGUAACUGACACUGAGGGACGAAAGCUAGGGGAGCGAAUGGGAUUAGAUACCCCAGUAGUCCUAGCCGUAAACGAUGGAUACUAGGCGUGGCUUGUAUCGACCCGAGCCGUGCCGGAGCUAACGCGUUAAGUAUCCCGCCUGGGGAGUACGCACGCAAGUGUGAAACUCAAAGGAAUUGACGGGGGCCCGCACAAGCGGUGGAGUAUGUGGUUUAAUUCGAUGCAACGCGAAGAACCUUACCAAGACUUGACAUGUCGCGAAUCCUUCUGAAAGGAAGGAGUGCCUUAGGGAGCGCGAACACAGGUGGGUGCA
rnacentral:rRNA from 1 species